CAGUCGAACGGUAGCACAGAGAGCUUGCUCUCGGGUGACGAGUGGCGGAGGUGAGUAAUGUCUGGGAAACUGCCUGAUGGAGGGGGAUAACUACUGGAAACGGUAGCUAAUACCGCAUAACUCGCAAGACCAAAGAGGGGGACCUUCGGGCCUCUUGCCAUCAGAUGUGCCCAGAUGGGAUUAGCUAGUAGGUGGGGUAACGGCUCACCUAGGCGACGAUCCCUAGCUGGUCUGAGAGGAUGACCAGCCACACUGGAACUGAGACACGGUCCAGACUCCUACGGGAGGCAGCAGUGGGGAAUAUUGCACAAUGGGCGCAAGCCUGAUGCAGCCAUGCCGCGUGUAUGAAGAAGGCCUUCGGGUUGUAAAGUACUUUCAGCGGGGAGGAAGGUGUUGUGGUUAAUAACCACAGCAAUUGACGUUACCCGCAGAAGAAGCACCGGCUAACUCCGUGCCAGCAGCCGCGGUAAUACGGAGGGUGCAAGCGUUAAUCGGAAUUACUGGGCGUAAAGCGCACGCAGGCGGUCUGUCAAGUCGGAUGUGAAAUCCCCGGGCUCAACCUGGGAACUGCAUUCGAAACUGGCAGGCUGGAGUCUUGUAGAGGGGGGUAGAAUUCCAGGUGUAGCGGUGAAAUGCGUAGAGAUCUGGAGGAAUACCGGUGGCGAAGGCGGCCCCCUGGACAAAGACUGACGCUCAGGUGCGAAAGCGUGGGGAGCAAACAGGAUUAGAUACCCUGGUAGUCCACGCCGUAAACGAUGUCGAUUUGGAGGUUGUGCCCUUGAGGGUGGCUUCCGGAGCUAACGCGUUAAAUCGACCGCCUGGGGAGUACGGCCGCAAGGUUAAAACUCAAAUGAAUUGACGGGGGCCCGCACAAGCGGUGGAGCAUGUGGUUUAAUUCGAUGCAACGCGAAGAACCUUACCUGGUCUUGACAUCCCAGAACUUUCCAGAGAUGGAUUGGUGCCUUCGGGAACUGUGAGACAGGUGCUGCAUGGCUGUCGUCAGCUCGUGUUGUGAAAUGUUGGGUUAAGUCCCGCAACGAGCGCAACCCUUAUCCUUUGUUGCCAGCGGUUAGGCCGGGAACUCAAAGGAGACUGCCAGUGAUAAACUGGAGGAAGGUGGGGAUGACGUCAAGUCAUCAUGGCCCUUACGACCAGGGCUACACACGUGCUACAAUGGCGCAUACAAAGAGAAGCGACCUCGCGAGAGCAAGCGGACCUCAUAAAGUGCGUCGUAGUCCGGAUUGGAGUCUGCAACUCGACUCCAUGAAGUCGGAAUCGCUAGUAAUCGUAGAUCAGAAUGCUACGGUGAAUACGUUCCCGGGCCUUGUACACACCGCCCGUCACACCAUGGGAGUGGGUUGCAAAAGAAGUAGGUAGCUUAACCUUCGGGAGGGCGCUACCACUUUGGAUA
rnacentral:rRNA from 1 species